rnacentral:rRNA from 1 species
AAUAUUGGACAAUGGGACCAACCCUGAUCCAUCCAUGCCGCGCGUGUGAAGAAGGUAUUCGUAUUGUAUAGCACUUUAAGGUGGGAGGAAGGGCUUUAGGUUAAUACCUUGAAGUUUUGACGUUACCAACAGAAUAAGCACCGGCUAACUCUGUGCCAGCAGCCGCGGUAAUACAGAGGGUGCAAGCGUUAAUCGGAAUUACUGGGCGUAAAGAGCGCGUAGGUGGUUCAGUAAGAUGGGUGUGAAAUCACACAGCUUAACAUGGGAACUGCUUUCCUAACUGCUGAGCUAGAGUACGGUAGAGGGUAGUGGAAUUUCCUGUGUAGCGGAGAAAUGCGUAGAUAUAGGAAGGAACACCAGUGGCGAAGGCGACUACCUGGACUGAUACUGACACUGAGGUGCGAAAGCGUGGGGAGCAAACA